rnacentral:rRNA from 1 species
AACUCCGGCUUCCUUGAAAAUUCUUUUAAUGAAGCCGGGGGCUUGGAUCAGAGUGCCAAGUGGGCCAAUUUUGGUAAGCAGAACUGGCGCUGUGGGAUGAACCAAACGUCGAGUUAAGGCGCCCAAGUCGUCGCUCAUGUGAAACCAUGAAAGGCGUUGGUUGCUUAAGACAGCAGGACGGUGGCCAUGGAAGUCGGAAUCCGCUAAGGAGUGUGUAACAACUCACCUGCCGAAGCAACUAGCCCUGAAAAUGGAUGGCGCUGUAGCGACGCUGCCUAUACUCGACCGUCAACGGCAAAGCUGUCUAGGCAGGCAACUGCUCGGACGUUACGCCUUGACGAGUAGGAGGGCCGCGGCGACGUGCGCAGAAGGGUCUGGGCGUGAGCCUGCCUGGAGCCGUCGUCGGUGCAGAUCUUGGUGGUAGUAGCAAAUACUCCAGCGAGGCCCUGGAGGACUGAUGUGGAGAAGGGUUUCUUGUGAACAGCUGUUGCACAAGAGUCAGUCGGUCCUAAGCCCUAGGAGAAAUCCGAAGCGAUGGGUUGCCGUUAAGACAAAUCUGAAGGCACUCGUUUGGGCGAAAGGGAAUCCGGUUCCUAUUCCGGAACCUGGCAGUGGAACCGUUCCAAUUCGGGCCCUCAGAGGACUCGUCAGGGCAACCUGAAUAGACCCGGAGACGCCGACAGGAGAUUGGGGGAGAGUUGUCUCUUCUCUAUAAGCGAUCGAGUUCCCUGGAAACUUCUAGCAAGGAGAUAGGGUUUGGAUCGCGAAGAGCACUGCAGUUACGGCAGUGUCCCAAUCUUCCUCUCGGACCUUGAAAAUCCGGGUGAGGGCCACGAGGAACCCCACGCCAGACCGUACCCAUAUCCGCAGCAGGUCUCCAAGGUGCAAAGCCUCUAGUCGAUAGAAUAAUGUAGUAGGAAGUCA